GCCUAAGGGAUAACUCAGCCAGUAGAGCGUGAGACUCUUAAUCUCAGGGUUGUGGGUUUGAGCCCCAUGUUGAGUG